rnacentral:lncRNA from 1 species
CCACCCGCACUCUUGCAAAUGGCAAAGACCUCAGAUCAUGAAUCAAAGGGUACCAGCACACAGUUCAAAAAGGUGGUGGGGUGGAGAUGUUGAAUGGGCACAAUGAGCACAGACUCUACUUCCUUCAGUGUAAAGCAACCUCUGUUGAAAAGUGGUUACCCUUUAAACUACUUUAAAAGGCAAAUCACUGAGCCACCGGUGUCUCCAAGACAGAUGAACGAGCAUUAGUAACUUACAAGUAUCUCAUUUGGUGUUUCAAGACAAGUAACUAUAGAAAAACCAGAGAAAGAGCUGUUACAGGUUCCUGGAACGUUUGCCUGGGAAGGUAUCUUAACAAUUUCCUAAUUCAGGUCUUCAUUUUUCCAGUGGAGGAAAGCGAAGUGUACGAGGUGUGCAAUUUGCCCAAUGGCCCUGCAAUUAAUCCAGGAGCCCCGAGGUGACACCAGGAACCAACUGGAGCAGCUCCGGGAUGCCUGAGUCCACCACCCCUGUCCACCUCUACUCCUUUCUUCAAAAAAACAAUUUUUUUUUUUUUUAUGUUGGGGACUGGAUUUUGGAAGACACGAAUUCCAGACAGUUAACUGUCUUUGCCUGAUUAUAAAUAUUAAUGAUUCUUGUCAACUCUCUGCCUGCUUCUCUCCAAUUUUUAAAGUUGGCAGUCAGAACGUCCAGUCUCAACAGUGCAAAUCAAUUCAAGGAAAACUCAGUAAAUUAGCAGAUGACAGAACAACUGCAGUGUCUCAUCUCAAAACGACACAUCUCACACGUGGAAAAUCAAUGUCUGAAGACUGGAAUAAGGGAUAUGGAGAUAGAAGAAAUCUAAGGAAGAAUGAAGGUUCUCAUUCCUUUUUCCAGUUGCACAGUGUUUCAGUU